AUAAAUUUGAGAUUGUUGAUUAUGAUAAUGAUGAAGAGGUUCGGAAAUAAGUCAAUAAAAAGUGUAAAACUCUUUACAAAAGUUGGCAUAACAAGAUGAAGUCUCAUUACUCAAAGUUGGUAGAUGCUGGUGUUGACCCUUAUAGUAAACCAUACAAAGGGGUCGAUUAUAAGGCUUGGAUAUACAUGAUCAAUCAUGUAUGGUUUGAUGGCGAUCAUCAGAACUUGGCUGAAAAAGCAAGGGAUAGUCGAUUGAGGUUACCAUAUAAUCAUACAAUGGGCUCCAAGUCAUUUCAAGCUGCAAUGUGAAAACAGGGUACCGAGAAGACUGACAUUGUAGACUUCUACAAAGAUUCUCAUUGGAGUAAGAGAAAGUCGGAUUGGGUAGCCCUAAUAUGUGGUCAAUUACAUGAAGCUUUGAAAAAGUGACGUGAAGAGUCUUUAGAGCCUAGGGCAGUACCUUUAACUCAAGAGCAGCUUUUAAUUGAGGUUCUUGGAAGGAAAUCGGGAUACUUAAAAGGCGUUAGAGUUGGUCCAAAACCAUCCUCAUCCAACUCUUCUAUUAGUGCACAAGCACAUAUUAAGGUGGUUUCGAGCCUACAAAAACAACUAGAGUCAUUGAAGAAUUUGUCCGAGGUCCAGCAAGAACAAAUUGCAGCCCAGAACCUGAUAGCACAAGAGCAAGCUAAAAUGAUUGAAAUGCAAAACAAAAGAUUUGAAGAGAUUGAGAAGUUUAUGAGGAUGCACAAGGAUCGGGCAGACAUGCAGGUUGAUGAAGAUGAUUAUCCAUUAGAGGAAUCUUAUUGACAAGCACUUUUAUUAGCAAUGGUGAAAAAUAGUUCAGGCUGCAUCAGAAGAUUUGAUUUUGUGUUUUUGGAUAUAUUUUGACAUAGGAUUUUGGUAAAUGACUUAGGGGUAAGAUAUUUAGCAUCAAAAUAUUUAGUUGUGUUUUUGCAAAUAUUUUGACAUAGGAUUUUGGUAAAUGACUUGUGGGUUAGAUGUUUAACAUCAAAAUAUUUGGUUUUGUAUUUUUUAAAAUAUUUUAACAUAGGAUUUGGUAAUGGAUUUGUGGGUUUGAUGUUAAUAGUUUGUAAGUACUUUGGUAUGAAUGUUUCAAAUUGCUAGAGAAUUGUAAUUAUGUUUAUUGGA